UCGAGGACGAACGCUGGCGGCGUGCUUAACACAUGCAAGUCGAACGGGGAUAUUCGAGCGGAAGGCUUCGGCCGGAAGGUUGGAUAUUCGAGUGGCGGACGGGUGAGUAACGCGUGAACAAUCUGUCCCAGACAGGGGGAUAACACUUGGAAACAGGUGCUAAUACCGCAUGAGACCACGGUAUCGCAUGGUACAGGGGUAAAAGGAGCAAUCCGGUUUGGGGUGAGUUCGCGUCCGAUUAGCCAGUUGGCGGGUAACGGCCCACCAAAGCGACGAUCGGUAGCCGAUCUGAGAGGAUGACCGGCCACAUUGGAACUGAGAGACGGUCCAAACUCCUACGGGAGGCAGCAGUGGGGAAUAUUGGGCAAUGGGGCGAAAGCCUGACCCAGCAACGCCGCGUGAGUGAAGAAGGCUUUCGGGUUGUAAAGCUCUGUUAUAGGGGACGAAGGGAGUGACGGUACCCUAUAAGGAAGCCCCGGCUAACUACGUGCCAGCCGCCGC
rnacentral:rRNA from 1 species